CCAACAUGACCCUCAUAACAGUGAGGACACAAUCAUCUACAGCACCGUUAUGAGUACCCCCAAUAGGAAAAAGGAAAAGAAGCCGGCGGACCGCACCAAGCCAGCGAACCACACCAGGCCAAAGAAUAACCCAGCUUCUGAUGAAGUUUGUUAUGCCGCAGUGAGACACAGAGAUCACAGGGAAGAGUCGCACAGGAUGCUUGGACAGAAUUCGGAGUACGCCGCUAUCAUGUUUGAUUAACAUGUCCAGCCUGGAAGAUGCAGGAUAUACACUGGAAGGAUGUGGCACUGGUACCCAGUCUCUAUAUAGAUGCCGGUGAUCCUUUGCCUCUGUUUCCCAUCCAGUUUUUGGAUUGUAAUACUGUUUUGAUGAAUGUGUGAUCUCUUCUUCAUGGCAUUUGUGGUCUCCGUAUUUAUACACACAAAUGGCCAUUUCCAGCUUCUGGAAAGUUCUGAAUGGAUCUUCCAUGUUUUUUUCAGGUGAGAGCUAUUUGCACAUUUCAUUGUAAGAAAAAAAACCCAUAUUUAUAUUUUUAUAGGUGUGAUGGUGCAGGGCAGCUUUUCUCUGACUUUUAUAGAUUUAAAACCCAGAAUACUGAUGUUCAAAUGGUGUUGGCUUUUGAUUGAAAUCAAGCUUGUCACAAUUUCCAGCCACUUUCUAAAAAUAUGAACAUGAGAAUAUAAAUGCAUUUACUAUUGAUAAGCCUUCUCUGUUUUUUCACAUUGGCAUAUUUAUUCAUUUAGUAGAUGCUUUUAUUCAAAGUCACAUGCAUGUUAGAUACAUACAUAUACAGCAAAGAGCAUAAAAAUAUGAAGUCAUAAAUAUUAUUAACAUAUUCUUGCAGAAAGAAUGAUCCAAGUGCUGCCUCAAUCCACAGUAAAACCUAGAAAGGUUGACAUGAACAGCACAAGUGAUCAACCCAGCU
rnacentral:lncRNA from 1 species